rnacentral:lncRNA from 1 species
GAGGAUGAUUUUCAAGAGAUGAAGCUUUACCUUUUUAUAGGUGGAGAUUCAUUGCUAGGAAAAAGGGAUAAAGCGAGAUACAAUGAAUGAGAAAUCAUGGAAGCAUUUAUGAAGGUUGUUACGUAACGCUUCGGAAGAUUACAACAAAAGAUGAAAAGACACAAUUAAAGCUUGACACAUAGGUUUUUCACGUCGAUUUGAUUCACUCAAUUUAUCAUAUCUCCUUCAUAGCUGGUGUAGUUCGAAGAGGACACGAGCCUUAAUUUUUGGUCACGCCAUCGGGGAAGACAACCUCUCUCCGUUGGGCCAAUUAAAUGUUUAGAAGCCCAUUAACAUGUGAACAAACGAAACAUAACUCGAUUAAAUGAAACGCAGAGUUUUUCUU